AUUGAACGCUGGCGGCAUGCCUUACACAUGCAAGUCGAACGGUAACAGGUCUUCGGAUGCUGACGAGUGGCGAACGGGUGAGUAAUACAUCGGAACGUGCCUAGUAGUGGGGGAUAACUACUCGAAAGAGUGGCUAAUACCGCAUGAGAUCUACGGAUGAAAGCAGGGGAUCGCAAGACCUUGUGCUACUAGAGCGGCCGAUGGCAGAUUAGGUAGUUGGUGGGAUAAAAGCUUACCAAGCCGACGAUCUGUAGCUGGUCUGAGAGGACGAUCAGCCACACUGGGACUGCGAAACGGCCCACACUCCUACGGGAGGCAGCAGUGGGGAAUUUUGGACAAUGGGCGCAAGCCUGAUCCAGCAAUGCCGCGUGAAGGAUGAAGGCCUUCGGGUUGUAAACUGCUUUUGUACGGAACGAAAAGCCCCGGGUUAAUACCCUGGGGUCAUGACGGUACCGUAAGAAUAAGCACCGGCUAACUACGUGCCAGCCGCCGCCGUAA
rnacentral:rRNA from 1 species